UACAGAGGUCUCAAGCGUUGUCCGGAAUCAUUGGGCGUAAAGCGCGUGUAGGCGGUCCGGUAAGUCCGCUGUGAAAGUCGGGGGCUCAACCCUCGAAUGCCGGUGGAUACUGUCGGGCUAGAGUGCGGAAGAGGCGAGUGGAAUUCCUGGUGUAGCGGUGAAAUGCGCAGAUAUCAGGAGGAACACCAAUUGCGAAGGCAGCUCGCUGGGACGUUACUGACGCUGAGACGCGAAAGCCAGGGGAGCGAACGGG
rnacentral:rRNA from 1 species